rnacentral:tRNA from 1 species
GUAGCGUAUCCGAAUUGGUGAGGAACCUGACUUGAAAUCAGGCGGGUGUAAUAGCCUUGGGGGUUCGAGCCCCUCACGCUACG